rnacentral:rRNA from 1 species
CAGCAGCCACGGUAAUACAGAGGUUGCGAGCGUUAAUCGGAUUUACUGGGCGUAAAGCGUGCGUAGGCGGCUUCUUAAGUCGGAUGUGAAAUCCCUGAGCUUAACUUAGGAAUUGCAUUCGAUACUGGGAAGCUAGAGUAUGGGAGAGGAUGGUAGAAUUCCAGGUGUAGCGGUGAAAUGCGUAGAGAUCUGGAGGAAUACCGAUGGCGAAGGCAGCCAUCUGGCCUAAUACUGACGCUGAGGUACGAAAGCAUGGGGAGCAAACAGGAUUAGAUACCCCAGUAGUCCCUGUCUCUUAUAC